GGGGAGAGACUUAGAAUCCCCGUUGAAUGAGCGUGUGAAUAGCGGCGUCUUUGGCCGGACGUGGUGGUUCGUGAAUC
ncrna:unclassified sequences L13-Bacteroidia ribosomal protein leader